UUAAACUUAUGGCUACAUUUACCCGCCUAUUUCAAACCAAAUCAUUAUACUUGUAUUACAAAGACGGAGCCAAUUAAGGUCAAGGAGCUACUAACUUAAGACUCCUGGAUACUUGUAAUUUUGACCACAAAAUAGAAAAGUUAAAUCUGUCUCGAACAAAAUUUUGCAAGGAAUACAAUAGUUUUUCGAGCAAGAUACUGAGGUUAAGAAAUAGUAUCACACUCGAGAUACCGGGAAAAAGGGAAGUGUUGGGUUUAGGCCUUUUUUCCUUCUUAUGUGGAUGAAUAAAUGUCCAAGGUUUUGGGUCUUCCAUCCUUUCCUUUGUAGAUAAAAUUAGCUCAAAUUUGACAAGUUCACUUUUGCCUAGGUCUUAUUUUGAAGAGAAUCACAAGAGUUUGAGAGCAGUUAUAUAGAGAGAAAAGUGAGAAAGUGCAGAUUUUCACACAAGCCAUAUCAAUCAUUUUCAAAUCGCGAUUCUCGCUUCGUUUCUUGUCCGAUUGAGCUGAUUUUGGAUAGCGUGUUUCUUUCAGUUUAAUCUUUUGAUUGGGAACUAAGAGAGGGUGACUUGGGGUCCUGUAGAUCCGAUUUUAGCUCGUGAACAGUAGCUUGCGGUUUGGGUAUUUUAGCUCAUCUUAUUUCUCUAGUUUUUUGGUGCUAUCUUGUAGUUGUAUUGUUCACUGUUUGGCACUCUGUUGGUGACCAUUUUGAAGAAAACUUUUGUAACUCUUGUUUAAUAUAGUGGAGCUUUGAUAUUGUGGUUUUUACUCUUCACACCGAAGAAGUUUUCCACGUUAAAUUUGGCGUCUCUUGUGUUGAUUUAUUUUUCUUGCUUGGUUGAUUAGUUUGCUGCCCAAACUAUUUUAUUCUUGCAUUAUUUUGUCUUCUCUUGGUUCAAGUAGAAGAAAAAGUUUUGACUUGGGUUUCUUCCGCUAUCGCCUUUGUCGUGCACAUAUUUAUUUUGUGCUUGCUUUUCCCAACAAAUGGUAUCAGAGCAUUGAGUUGUUGUUGAUAUCUGUUUGAAUGACUAUCUAUUUGAAUGAUGGAGUCAAAUAUGAGCAAGCUGGUUUGUUUGAAUUGUAGUAAUUAUCAUACUAGGAAAGGCAUGAUGAAAGAUCUUCUAUUUGUCAAGAAAAUGCAUCUACCUGUUUUGCUUCUAAUAAACUCGAAUCUAUGAAUGAUGAGGAUUGGAAAUUUGAGCAUUUACAUGUUUGUGGCUAGAUCAGAAAAUGGGUUGAAGAUAAUGUUAGAAAUCACAUUGUGAAUGAGACACAUGCCAGAAUUUUGUGGGCAAGCUUGAGACACUGUAUGCUUCGAAGACUGGAACAAUAAAUUGUUUCUUUUGAAACAAUUGAUGAAUAUCGUGUAUAAAGAGGGCAACCCUAUUUCUGAUCAUAUUAAUGAUUUUCAAGGUGUUCUUGACCAGCUGUCUGGAAUGGGUGUAAAAUUUGAUAAAGAAAUUCAAGGACUAUGACUUCUUAAUA